CUGCCGGGGCCCCCGGUGGACCAUUCAACUCUGCAUCUUUGCGUCUGAGUAUAAAGUAAAUUAAAUCAAAACUUUCAACAACGGAUCUCUUGGUUCUGGCAUCGAUGAAGAACGCAGCGAGAUGCGAUAAGUAAUGUGAAUUGCAGAAUUCAGUGAAUCAUCGAAUCUUUGAACGCACAUUGCGCCCUUUGGCAUUCCGAAGGGCAUGCUUGUUCGAGCGUCAUUACACCACUCAAGCCUGGCUUGGUAUUGGGUAAUAGAAUCCAUCUAUGCCCUAAUUCUACCGGCUGUACGUACCCAUCUCAGCGUUGUGGCAACUAAUUCGCUGGUGAGAAAGUGCGGACGCGCCGUUAAAAUCUUAUUCAGGUUGACCUCGGAUCAAGUAGG
rnacentral:rRNA from 1 species